UACGAAGGGGGCUAGCGUUGCUCGGAAUCACUGGGCGUAAAGCGCACGUAGGCGGAUUUCUAAGUCAGGGGUGAAAUCCUGGAGCUCAACUCCAGAACUGCCUUUGAUACUGGGAAUCUCGAGUCCGGGAGAGGUGAGUGGAACUGCGAGUGUAGAGGUGAAAUUCGUAGAUAUGACAUAGAACACCAAUUGCGAAGGCAGCUUGCUACACAGUUAUUGACGCUGAGGCACGAAAGCGUGGGGAUCAAACAGG
rnacentral:rRNA from 1 species